rnacentral:rRNA from 1 species
CGUGUAGGCGGGACUGUAAGUCAGAUGUGAAAUUCCUAGGCUUAACCUGGGCGCUGCAUCUGAAACUAUGGUUCUUGAGUGCUGGAGAGGAAAGCGGAAUUCCUAGUGUAGCGGUGAAAUGCGUAGAUAUUAGGAGGAACACCAGUGGCGAAGGCGGCUUCUGGACAGUAACUGACGCUGAGGCGCGAAAGCGUGGGGAGCAAACAGGAUUAGAUACCCUGGUAGUCCACGCUGUAAACGAUGGAUACUAGGUGUAGGAGGUAUCGACCCCUUCUGUGCCGGAGUUAACACAAUAAGUAUCCCACCUGGGGAGUACGGCCGCAAGGUUGAA